CAGAGAAGAAUAUUUUGCUAUAAGCGUUUUAACAUUCAAGUCGUCACUAAAGGUGUGAACCAUGUGGCUGUUGCUUUUUCUUGCAAAGGGACCCAGAAACUUCUCCAGGAAUGUCUGUCUGUCCRUCUGUCUUUGGAAGGAAGGAAUGCAGCAAUCUGGAGGGCAGGAGUGAUGUUCGUCAACGAAUUGAGGUGAGAAAAGACAGAGAAAUGCAUGAAUUGAGAUUGUGGAUUGGACUCUGUCUGCUGGACACAUGUUGGAUCAURCUGAAAGUCUUAAGUCAAGUGGCAGAUGCCCUUUUUAAUGGAAAAUGGAUUUGAAUCUAUAAUUACCACAACCAUCACAUGUCUAAUUUGCAGUUGUGUGCACAAACAAAUAAUUUGCCCAUGUACUGCCUGUACUUUCGCAUUAAAUGCUCUUGGCUCCUGCUCUUAG
rnacentral:lncRNA from 1 species